GAUUUCGAUUAGCUGAGCUAUAUGUGCAUACAGUAAUUGGGCGUUAAUCAACAUGAUUAAUACGAUGUGGGUAUAAUUAGAACAAUGGUGCACAAUUGCAUUAACACUGGAUUAAUCGAUGUGCAAUCGAAUAGAUGGGUCAAAAUUUCAAGUUGGAAUUACAGAGUUGCGUCUCGAUACAUUUAAUCAAUAAUUGUUCACUUGUAAAAAUUUAAAACUAAGUUAAAAGUAUUAUCGAAUUAAUUAUAUAAAUAAAAAUAAUUUAAAAUAUA